UGUAUGCUUCUCCUAAAGACUAAGCCAUGCAUGCCCCGAAUAAGAGGAAGCAAUUCUCUCUGAAUCUGCGAACGGCUCCGCAAACCAGUUGUAAACUAGAGCAAGCUAGUCUGGCGGGCUUCGGCCUCCAGGCGAUAUGGAUAACCCUGGUAAUUCUGAGGCUAAUACAGGACCGCAAAACCGAGCAGCCCAGCAAUGGAUGCUCGGGGCUGUGCGAUAUGGCUUGACAAUGACCGGGAAAGGACGCACACUCAGACCGCGCUACAAAGGAUCAGGACUCCCCUCGGGGAACCUGGCCCCAGCGGCUCUUGCUGUGUGCUUCUGACCUAUCAACUAGACGGCAGCGUAAUGGACAUGCUAUGGUGACAACGGGUACAGAGGAUUAGGGUUCGAUCCUGGAGAGUGGGCCUGAGAGAUUGCUCAUACUUCUAAGGAAGGCAGCAGGCGCGCAACGUUCCCCUUGGGCAAUGCCCGAGGGCGUUAGGGGACAUAUGAAUGCCUGCCCAUUGGGUGGGCAAUUCAAAUGGGUCUGUUGUAAACAGGCUCUCGAGUAACAAUUAGAGGACAAGUCUGGUGCCAGCACCCGCGGUAAUUCCAGCUCUAAUAGCAUACGUUAAAGUUGUUGCGGUUAAAACGCUCGUAGUCGGCUUCUGACUGUCAGAUGCCUGAUCCGGGAGCCUAGGAAUGCUGCCUUCGGGCGCGCCGGGUGACUGGGGAUGGCGGGCGGCAGUCAAUUGUACCUCAGGCUGUAUCCUUCGGGACUCACAGACCGGCUGCCUUCGGGUAGACCCCGGUCGGCUUGGGGUAUCAAUUACCAUGAUUAAACUGGCGUGAUUAAAGCAGGUCGCAAGACCUUGCACAGCGCAGCAUGGAACAAGCCAAGCCGGCCUGGUCUCUCAAGCGGGACUGGGCAGGCAGAAGCAACAGGGGUGUUCGAGGGUGACCGAAUUGCCGGGCGAGUGGUGAAAUACGUUGACCCUGGCAAGUCGACCAAAGGCGAAAGCAGUCAUCAAGGGCACGCCCGUUGAUCAAGAGCGAAAGUUAAGGGUUCGAAGACGAUCAGAUACCGUCGUAGUCUUAACUAUAAAUGAUACUGGCCAGGGAUGGGAUAUUGUCCAUCUCGACUCUUCCUGGACCUUGGAGAAAUCAGAGUCUUUGAGUUCUGGGGGGAGUAUGGUC
rnacentral:rRNA from 1 species